CACGUAGGGGGCAAGCGUUGUCCGGAUUUAUUGGGCGUAACGAGCUCGUAGGUGGUUCGGUAAGUCGGGUGUGAAACCUCCAGGCUCAACCUGGAGACGCCACCCGAUACUGCUGUGACUGGAGUCCGGUAGGGGAGCGUGGAAUUCCUGGUGUAGCGGUGAAAUGCGCAGAUAUCAGGAGGAACACCAGCGGCGAAGGCGGCGCUCUGGGCCGGUACUGACACUGAGGAGCGAAAGCGUGGGUAGCAAACAGG
rnacentral:rRNA from 1 species